rnacentral:rRNA from 1 species
CCUACGGGUGGCAGCAGUGAGGAAUAUUGGUCAAUGGACGCAAGUCUGAACCAGCCAUGCCGCGUGCAGGAAGAAGGCUCUAUGAGUUGUAAACUGCUUUUGUACGAGGGUAAACGCAGAUACGCGUAUCUGUCUGAAAGUAUCGUACGAAUAAGGAUCGGCUAACUACGUGCCAGCAGCCGCGGUAAUACGGAGGAUUCAAGCGUUAUCCGGAUUUAUUGGGUUUAAAGGGUGCGUAGGCGGUCGGAUAAGUUAGAGGUGAAAUCCCGAGGCUCAACUUCGGAAUUGCCUCUGAUACUGUGCGGCUAGAGAGUAGUUGCGGUAGGCGGAAUGUAUGGUGUAGCGGUGAAAUGCUUAGAGAUCAGACAGAACACCGAUUGCGAAGGCAGCUUACCAAGCUACUUCUGACGUUGAGGCACGAAAGCGUGGGGAGCAAACAGGAUUAGAUACCCCUGUAGUC